rnacentral:rRNA from 1 species
AUGAACGCUAGCGGGAGGCCUAACACAUGCAAGUCGAACGGGAUUGGGAGCUUGCUCCCAUGAGAGUGGCGCACGGGUGAGUAACGCGUAUGCAACCUACCUUUAACUGAGGGAUAGCCCAUAGAAAUGUGGAUUAAUACCUCAUAGUUCUUUUGAUUCGCAUGGAUUAAAAGAUAAAGCUCCGGCGGUUAAAGAUGGGCAUGCGUGACAUUAGUUUGUUGGUGAGGUAACGGCUCACCAAGACUACGAUGUCUAGGGGUUCUGAGAGGAUGAUCCCCCACACUGGUACUGAGACACGGACCAGACUCCUACGGGAGGCAGCAGUGAGGAAUAUUGGUCAAUGGGCGCAAGCCUGAACCAGCCAUCCCGCGUGAAGGAUGAAGGCCCUAUGGGUCGUAAACUUCUUUUAUACACCAAGAAAAAGCAGGACGUGUCCUGCCCCGACGGUAGUGUAUGAAUAAGCAUCGGCUAACUCCGUGCCAGCAGCCGCGGUAAUACGGAGGAUGCAAGCGUUAUCCGGAUUCAUUGGGUUUAAAGGGUGCGUAGGCGGCUUUUUAAGUCAGUGGUGAAAUCCUGUCGCUUAACGAUAGAAUUGCCAUUGAUACUGAAGAGCUUGAGUACAAUUGAGGUAAGCGGAAUGUGUAGUGUAGCGGUGAAAUGCUUAGAUAUUACACAGAACACCGAUUGCGAAGGCAGCUUACUAAACUGUUACUGACGCUGAUGCACGAAAGCGUGGGGAGCGAACAGGAUUAGAUACCCUGGUAGUCCACGCCGUAAACGAUGAUCACUCGCUGUAUGCGAUACACAGUAUGCGGCCAAGCGAAAGCAUAAGU